rnacentral:rRNA from 1 species
AUUGAACGCUGGCGGCAGGCCUAACACAUGCAAGUCUAGCGGGGCGUCGGACGGGCGAGUGAUUCCUAGGAAUCUGCCUGGUAGUGGAGGACAAAGUCCGGAAACGGGCGCUAAUCCCGCAUCCUAUCAGCUGAGCCUAGGUCGGAUUCGAUAGUUGGUGGGGUAAAGGUCUACCAAGGCGACGAUCCGUACCUGGCCUGAGAGGAUGAUCAUUAACCCGGGAGCUGAGACACGGUCAAGACUCAUAGGGAGGGCAGCAGUGGGGAAAAUUGGAAAGUGGCCGAAAUCCGAAUGGAGACACGCCGCGCGGUUGAAGACGGUCUUCGUAUUGUAAAGCACUUUAAGUUGGGAGACGUUACCAACAGAAAAAGCGCCGGCUAACUUCGUGCCAGCAGCCGCGGUAAUUC